GGAAAUAAUUAAAUUCCUGAAAAGUAAUCAGUGGUUGGAAAAAUGUAAUUAUUCAAAUGUAGUUAAAACAACCAUAUAGGUAAAAAACAUGACAGGAGUUUCUCUUUCACAGAUAACGCAAAUGGGUUAAGGACUCUUAACAUAAUUUCAGAUGCAGUUAAAAAAUGGUAUCAAAGUCUCAGUUUGGUGGCUUAAAUUUUUUGUAGAGAAAUUAGACACCUAACAGAGCAAGAUCCAAUAUUUUAAAUCAACAGGGUCUUGUGUAUGAACUGCGCUCAGUGUGGAUUCCAGUGAUCCUCUGCAGGCCCCACCUGCCUCCAGGGAGCAACUGAAGGAGCCGACUGCCAGGUGAACACCUGGAUUCAUGAACCAAAGCAGCCUCAAGUUUCGUGUUGUCAAGGCAAGGUGCAACAGCGACCAGGAACAUCACCUUACACAGUGUAACAUGGAAAGAAAAGACAACAUUGGCACGCUUCUCUUCUCGAAAACCUUAUCAUUCUAUUCAGCUUAUCAACUACUGCAGGACUGGCACCACUGCACACAUGGAGAGACGGAGAAUAAUCUACAUCAUCUUAGAGACUGCUGGAGGUUUAAGCUCCGUGGCCUUCUAACACUAAGCAAAACUGACAUAAAUUAAACUCAAAAACAAAAAACAAACAAACAAAAAACAAAAAAAACUCAAUUAUUUUGAACACUUGCUAAAUGUCAUCAUUAAAGUACUCUUGUGAUUUAAAGAAAGCAGAAGUGAGGAAAGAAGACAAGACUGUGUUUGCGCAAAAAAAUAAAAACUACCAUUAGUUCCAAAAUGUUAUACAUAUCUUAAAUGUUUUAUUCUGUUGUCUAUCUUGUUAUCAAACAAACUUUAAAUUCUGCCUUCAAUGCAUUCAGCUCAAUAUCAACUUUAAGUCAUCCCUUCCAAUUUAAAUAAUUUCCCCCCCUUUUUUUUUUGUUUCGUUUCUUUGUUUUGAAUUUUAAAAAGGGGUUUCAGCUGUUGGAAACCUGAGGUUGACUAUCUUUGAGGCUUCGGAGGGCUCUUCUUGCUGCUGCAGAUUUGGCAAUCCUGUUACUUCGAACAACACCUUUAAAUUUCCCCUGUCCCACUACUUCUACGGUGACUCUGACCUUCCCGUGGUAAGUUCUCACAGCUGGGUUAAAUUUGGCAGUUUCUGGUUCCAUUUCAAGCAACUCUCGCACAGGGGAACGGGGUACAUUUGCAGAAAACUUUUCUAUUAGCGGCAUUCCUCAACCCACACACAAUUUAGACAGUUGUAAUUCACAACCCACACACAGUUCAGGCAGCAGAAGGUAGGGCCUCACAGGCUUGAUGUGUCUGAACGUAGACUCUGCCCAAAUAACUGGCUGAUUGCUGAGCUAUACAGUUGCUGGGAAGAUCUUUAUUGAACCCAAAUGCCCCCACACACCACCCCUCAAGUAUUAAGCAGAAUCAUCAGUGUCUACACACUACAGGGGAGACAGAUUUUGCAGUUUAGGGAAAGUUUAUACUUACUAAAAUUAAAAAAAAGUCAAAUUUCACAAUAACAAAAUAGAUUGUAUAAUUAUACAUUUUUUAUCCACCAAAUCCAAUUUUCAAUAUAAAAAAUUACCAGAUAUAGGAAGAAACUUGAAGGGGUGGUCCAUUCUCCACGGAGAAAAAUAGAAAUCAGUAGAAACUGACUCCGAGUGGGUCCAGGUAAUGAAUUUAGCAGACAAAAACCUCAAAGCAGCUAUUAGGAUAUGCUCAAAGAAUUAAAGGAAACCAGUAAAUAGUAAACAGAAACUAUGGAAAGAAAACAAGUGACAUUCUAAGCUGAAAUGUACACGAACUUUAAAAAAAAUCACUAAAUGGUUUACACAGCAGAUUGACAUGGCAGACAAAGUAUGUCAUAUUCCAUUAGUCACAUGAACCAAUCUUCAUAUAGUGUGAGAAGGGACUACAGACAGUUGUGAAUACAGAGCGUGGGGAUCAUUAGAGGCCAUCUUAAAGGAUGGCCACCUUAACAUAUGUGGGUGGGUCCAUUUUGGGACUCUGUCUACUGUUGCAGUGAUUUAUUUCUACUUUAUCAUUUACCAUCUACUUUCACCAUUACCACACUGUCUUAAUUUCUGUAGUUUUACAUUAAAUCUUAAUUUAAAGACCUAACUUAAUAUAAAGACCUGCCUGGCUUAAUCAGAUAGAAAAGUCGUCCAACUUGUUUCUUUCUUUUUUUUCUUUCGAUAUUAUUUUGACUAUUCUAGGUCUUUCGACUUUCCAGCAUGAGCUUGCAAUUAGCCAGCCAAUUUCUAGAAAAACAAAAAGUUUGCUGAAAUUUUGAUUGGGGACUUUUUGAAAUACAGAUGAGUUAGACAUGAAUCACCAUCUAAGCAGUCUUGAGUUUUCCAGUGCAUGAACAUAGUUUAUUCCUCCAUUUAAUUAAGUCUUUAAAUUCUCUCAGUAAUAUUUUUAGUUAUCACACUAUGUCAGAGCCUAUGCUUUUUCAUUUUUUCCUGUGUAUUUAGGUUUUUAAAAUGAAAUUACUUAUUUAUUUUCACUUGUUCCUCACUUGUUUAUAAAAUAGAUUUUAUUUUUGUAUAUUGGCCUUAUAACCUAUAUAAAUACUAAACUCACUUCUUAGUUCUAGCAAACUUUGUUUUCUUUUGUAUAAUCCUUAAGAUUUUUUACCUAUACAAGCAUAUUGCCUAUGAGUAAAAAGUUUUACUUCUCCUUACUAAUGCCGUUUGUUUGCUUGUUUUAUGGACUGUUCAGAAUCUUCAGUGCAAUUGUGAGUAGAAAGAGUGAAGACUUUAUUCCCAUCUUAUUCCCAAUCUUAGAUAAAACCAUCUUUAAUUAUUUAUGAAUAAAUAUGAUGUUCGCUGUAACAUUUAUUGUAGACCCCUUUAUUGGCUUUUGAAGUUACUUUUCUGAUAUGGUUUAGCUGUGUCCCCACCCAAAUCUCAUCUUGAAUUGUAGUUCCCAUAAUCUCCACGUGUUGUGGGAAGGACCAGGUGGAGAUAAUUGAAUCACAGAGUGAUUUCCCCCUUCCUGUGCUUGUGAUAAUGAAUUAGUUCUCAUGAGAUUUGAUGGUUUUGUACGGGGCUUCCUCCUUUGCUGGGCACUCAUUUCUCUCUCCUGCUGCCACACGAAGAAGGACGUGUUUGCUUCCCCUUCUGCCAUGAUUGUAAGUUUUCUGAGGCCUCUCCAGCCCUGCAGAGAAGUCAGUUAAACUUCUUUCCUUCAUAAAUUACUCAAUCUUGGGCAGUUCUUUAUAGCAGUGUGAGAAUGGACUAAUACAUUUUCUAUAUCUAGUUUGCUAACUCAAAAAGAAAUCAUAAAUGGGUAGUGAAUUUAGAGUUAUUAAGAUGAUCAAAUUUUAUUUUUCUUUUAAUGUGUUGUAUUCCUGAGAGAAAUCCUUCUUAGUCUUAAUGCAUAGACACAAUUUGCUAUUAUAUUGUUGUGGAUUAUUACAUCUAUAUCUUUACAUUUCUUGAAAUAUAUUUGUCUGGUUUCAAUAUCAGUGUUAUGCUGGCCUCAUUACAUAAGUUGGGAGCUAGUCCCUUCACAAUUUUCUGAAGAGGGUAUAUGUAAAAUUGUAUCAUUUCUUUCAAAAACAGAUGUUUACAAUUAAUUAUGAAAGCCAUCCUUGUGUGAAGUCUUAUUUGUGAAGUUUUUUGUCUUACAAAUUCAAUUGCUGUAACAGACAUAGGGCUAGUUAGAUUUCUUAUUUCUCCUUGCAUAUUUUAUUUUGUCUGUUUUGGGAGGUGUUUUUUUCAAUGAAGUUUAUUCUUUUAUCAAAAAUUGCAAAUUUAGCUGCAUAACUUUUCUAUAACCUCUUAAUUAUCUUUUUUUUUUUUAACAUGCUGGUCAUAUUCGGAUUUUAUUCUCUUUGAAGCGUUCAGAUUGCAUUCCACUGUUAGCUUGGUAGCUAUGAUUCAACUUACACUUUUAAAAUUUAUCUGUUGGUAAGCACAGAAAGCUACAGAGAAUUUUUUGUUAUUGUUUUUAAGUUUUGGUCAGAAUAUUUGGAACUAGAUGAAUUACAACAUAAACAAACUAAAGAGCUAAGUUGAUGACUGUACUGUUUUUACUGCUACAGAAUUCAAAUCCUUCUGUGCCAUCUCUGACUAAUUCUUUUUUUAUUAUUAUUAUACUUUAAGUUCUAGGGUACAUGUGCACAACCUGCAGGUUUGUUACAUAUGUAUACAUGUGCCAUGUUGGUGUGCUGCACCCAUUAACUCGUCAUUUACAUUAAGUAUAUCUCCUAAUGCUAUCUCUCCCCCCUCCCCCCUCUCCACAAUAGGCCCUGGUGUGUGAUGUUCCCCUUCCUGUGUCCAAAUGAUCUCAUUGUUCAGUUCCCACCUAUGAGUGAGAACAUGUGGCGUUUGAUUUUCUGUUCUUGUGAUAGUUUGCUGAGAAUGAUGGUUUCCAGCUGCAUCCAUGUCCCUACAAAGGACACAAACUCAUCCUUUUUUAUGGCUGCAUAGUAUUCCAUGGUGUAUAUGUGCCACAUUUUCUUAAUCCAGUCUGUCACUGAUGGACAUUUGGGUUGAUUCCAAGUCUUUGCUAUUGUGAAUAGUGCCACAAUGAACAUACGUGUGCAUGUGUCUUUAUAGCAGCAUGAUUUAUAAUCCUUUGGGUAUAUACCCAGUAAUGGGAUGGCUGGGUCAUAUGGCACUUCUAGUUCUAGAUCCUUGAGGAAUCGCCAUACUGUUUUCCAUAAUGGUUGAACUAGUUUACAGUCCCACCAACAGUGUAAAAGUGUUCCUGUUUCUCCACAUCCUCUCCAGCACCUGUUGUUUCCUGACUUUUUAAUGAUCGCCAUUCUAACUGGUGUGAGAUGGUAUCUCAUUGUGGUUUUGAUUUGCAUUUCUCUGAUGGCCAGUGAUGAUGAGCAUUUUUUCAUGUGUCUGUUGGCUGCAUAAAUGUCUUCUUUUGAGAAGUGUCUGUUCAUAUCCUUCAUCCACUUUUUGAUGGGGUGGUUUGAGAUAAGACCACAUACUCUGUAUGAUUUCAAUCCUUUGCCAUUUAUUGGAUAUUAUUUUAUUAUUAUGAAUUUGGUCAAUCUGUGAAUAUUUCAUGAACAUUUUUAAAGAAAUAAAUGUUCAUGGAAAGAAACACGUUCAUGAAAAUAUGCAUAUUAUGCAGUUAUUAGUGGUCUAUAGAUAUUAGUUAGGUCAAUUUUUUGGCAGUGUUAUUCAAAUGCUAUUAUGGUGUUUUUUGUUUGUUUGUGUUUUUGUCUACUUGUUCUAGCAAUUACUGACAAAGUAGCAUUAAAUAUCUCCAAUGGAUGUUCUGGACGUGCCUAUUUCUCCCUUUAGCUCUGUCAGUUUUUUCUUUAUAUAUUUUGAAGCUUUGUUAUUUGGUGCAGCCACAUUCAGGAUUUUGAUGUCUUCUUAGCUUCUAUAUUGCUUCUAAAAAUAACCUUUGUCUUGAUUAAUAUAUCAUCUGAUAUUAAUGUAGCACUUCAGUUUUCUU
rnacentral:lncRNA from 1 species